UUUCAACAGUCAUUUUAAAUAUGCCUCAUCCUUUUCCCUUUCUUCCUUCCACGUUAGAGGCCCGUCAGUGUGGUGUGUUUUUUCUUUGUGGUAACGUUCUCUUCAUCUUAUUUCUCCAAUUGCUAGAGUUUAACAGGGUUUCAAUGUUAGGGGAUUUGGAAGAAGGGGAGGCGGAUAACGACUUUCAUUUUCAUUGUCAAGUAUUUAGGCUGUCAGAGAAUACAAGAUGAAUCCCACCAAGGUUUCCAUAGGACAUGAUGUUUUUACUGUAAAUGUCCUAGCUGCAGAGGUAACAGUAUAAUAGUAUGGACGUAAUGAUUUCUUCUUCUUGUAGUACC